rnacentral:lncRNA from 1 species
GACAUAAAGCCGCAAUGCGACCCGCCAGUCGUUGAACUUGAUUAAUGUCCGCCUGCUUUCCGAGGGAGGUAACCGCUUCGAUCUUGUCCGGGUUAGCUUCGAUGCCGCGCUCCGAGACCAAGAAACCCAGUAAUUUUCCUGCAGGCACACCAAAAACACACUUGGUAGGAUUUAGUUUCAUCUGAUAUACCCGUAGAUUAUCGAACGUUUCCUUG